AAAAAAAGAAAUUGGAGACAAACGAAUAUAUAGGCUGCGGAGCGAACGACGAUAUUUGGGUGUGAUAACCAGAAAUUCUGAAACUAUAAGCAGAGAAGAGAAAGGCUGUUUUUGAAACAUGUAUCACCCUACUAGAGGCGGUGUUCGUGGCGGCCGUGAUCAAUUUACUUGGGAAGAUGUGAAAGUUGAUAAGCAUCGAGAGAACUAUAUUGGUCACAGUCUCAAGGCCCCUGUUGGAAGAUGGCAGAAAGGGAAGGACCUGCACUGGUAUGUGAGGGAUAAAAAUGCUCAGAGUGCAGACAUGGAAGCUGCGAAAGAAGAGAUCAAAAGGAUUAAGGAAGAGGAAGAACAGGCCAUGAGGGAGGCUCUUGGCUUAGCUCCUAAGCGUGCAAACCGCUCACAAGGGAAUCGGCUUGAUAAGCAUGAGUUUUCAGAGCUUGUGAAACGAGGUUCUACUGCUGAGGAUGUUGGUGAAGGGCAUGCUGAGGCAGCACAUGUUCAUGGCCUUGGUUUCUCAAGAGCGAAUCGUCCUCACGUGGAAUCAAGCUCUCACCCAUCGUCUGUUGAGAACAUUCCUGAAAUGCCAGCAGUCCCGGUGUUUAAUCCAACAAAAAACACUGAAGAACAGCAAUCAGACGAUGAAAGCAAUAGAAAGAAAAGGAGGCGCGAUGAAAGGAAACACGAGAAGCAUGAAAAACGUGAAAAGAGAGAAAAGCACGGAAAACAUGAAAAAUAUGAUAAGUAUGAAAAGCGUCAUUCCUCGGACGACAGGAGGAAGCACAGAAAGGAAAAGGAAAGAAGACAUGAUUCUGACUAAAGUAAUUGUAAAGUAAAGAAUAAAGCUUGUAUAUGCUUCAUAUAUGAGAUUUUUUAGGACCUUAUUGUUGUUCAAAAUUGUUAUGGUGGAAAUCUUCAUUGAAAUUCUGCUGUCUUUCUUGUGGGAUUAUUGUCGAAUCUGUAAAAGUCCCCUCUUAUUGAGGAGACAGGGUCAGUCGAUCUUCUUUCGGCAACAAAUGAUGGGACAAGGCCAGAUUUAUUGGAGAGAAAAACCUCAUGCUGCAAGAACGGCUUCAGCUUGCAGUGACAUUUUAACACUUGGGAUACUCUUGUAGGUAGCUUGCAGAUUGAAGUGUGACUGUGAGGGUGAGUGACUAGUCUCAUGUAAGAUCAUAUAUAGAGUAAAAACCUGUUAAAACGUCUGAGAGUACUUAAUACGAAAGAAGAACAUGAUUAGCUUAUUAUUUUUAAUUUUAUAAUAAACACUAUAUAAUAUAAUAGUUUUCUAUUAUAGUAUUGACAAAGACAACAUAUUGCUACUA